rnacentral:rRNA from 1 species
GACGAACGCUGGCGGUGUGCUUAACACAUGCAAGUCGAACGGUAAGGCCCUUUCGGGGGUACACGAGUGGCGAACGGGGGAGUAACACGUGAGUAACCUGCCCUCAUCUCUGGGAUAACAGUCGGAAACGGUUGCUAAUACUGGAUAUGAGCCUGCAAGGCAUCUUGUGGGUUGGAAAGAUUUUUUGGUUGGGGAUGGACUCGCGGCCUAUCAGCUUGUUGGUGAGGUAGUGGCUCACCAAGGCUUCGACGGGUAGCCGGCCUGAGAGGGCGACCGGCCACAUUGGGACUGAGAUACGGCCCAAACUCCUACGGGGGGCAGCAGUGGGGAAUAUUGCACAAUGGACGGAAGUCUGAUGCAGCAACGCCGCGUGCGGGAUGACGGCCUUCGGGUUGUAAACCGCUUUCAAUUGUGACGAAGCUUUUUGUGACGGUAGCAGUAGAAGAAGCACCGGCUAACUACGUG